rnacentral:rRNA from 1 species
UACGUAGGGUGCGAGCGUUAAUCGGAAUUACUGGGCGUAAAGCGUGCGCAGGCGGUUUUGUAAGUCUGUCGUGAAAUCCCCGGGCUCAACCUGGGAAUGGCGAUGGAGACUGCAAGGCUAGAAUCUGGCAGAGGGGGGUAGAAUUCCACGUGUAGCAGUGAAAUGCGUAGAUAUGUGGAGGAACACCGAUGGCGAAGGCAGCCCCCUGGGCUAAGAUUGACGCUCAUGCACGAAAGCGUGGGGAGCAAACAGG